rnacentral:rRNA from 1 species
CAGCCGCCGCGGGAAAACGUAGGUGGCAAGCGUUGUCCGGAAUUAUUGGGCGUAAAGGGCUCGCAGGCGGUUUCUUAAGUCUAAUGUGAAAGCCCCCGGCUCAACCGGGGAGGGUCAUUGGAAACUGGGAAACUUGAGUGCAGAAGAGGAGAGUGGAAUUCCACGUGUAGCGGUGAAAUGCGUAGAGAUGUGGAGGAACACCAGUGGCGAAGGCGACUCUCUGGUCUGUAACUGACGCUGAGGAGCGAAAGCGUGGGGAGCGAACAGGAUUAGAUACCCCGGUAGUCCCUGUCUCUUAUAC